rnacentral:rRNA from 1 species
GUUAAGUGACUAAGCGUAUACGGUGGAUGCCUUGGCAGUUAGAGGCGAUGAAGGACGUGUAAGUCUGCGAAAAGCUGUGGUGAGCCGACAAAAUGCAUUUGAGCCACAGAUGUCCGAAUGGGGAAACCCACCUGUUUACAGGUAUCGUUACAUGAAUACAUAGUGUAACGAGGCGAACGAGGGGAACUGAAACAUCUAAGUACCCUUAGGAAAAGAAAUCAACCGAGAUUCCCCUAGUAGCGGCGAGCGAACGGGGAGCAGCCCUUAAGCUGUAUAGAGUGUAGUGGAAUCCUUUGGGAAGAGGAGCGAUACAGGGUGAUAGCCCCGUACACGACGCAAUCUUUACAGUGAAAUCGAGUAGGUCGGGACACGUGUUAUCUUGACUGAAUAUGGGGGGACCAUCCUCCAAGGCUAAAUACUCGUAAUCGACCGAUAGUGAACAAGUACCGUGAGGGAAAGGCGAAAAGAACCCCGGGAGGGGAGUGAAAUAGAUCCUGAAACCGCAUGCAUACAAAAAGUCGGAGCCGCAAGGUGACGGCGUACCUUUUGUAUAAUGGGUCAUCGACUUGGUCUAUCUAGCAAGCUUAAGCCGUUAGGUGUAGGCGCAGCGAAAGCGAGUCUGAAUAGGGCGACGAGUUCGAGGGAUAAGACCCGAAACCGAGUGAUCUAGCCAUGUGCAGGUUGAAGGUGCGGUAACACGCACUGGAGGACCGAACCCACAUCUGUUGAAAAAGAUCGGGAUGAGCUGUGCCUAGGGGUGAAAGGCCAAUCAAACUCGGAGAUAGCUGGUUCUCUGCGAAAUCUAUUUAGGUAGAGCGU